AUUGAACGCUGGCGGCAGGCCUAACACAUGCAAGUCGAGCGGAGCGGCGGACGGGUGAGUAAUGCCUAGGAAUCUGCCUGGUAGUGGGGGAUAACGUCCGGCAACGGGCGCUAAUACCUCAUACUAUCACAUGAGCCUAGGUCGGAUUCGCUAGUUGGUGGGUUAAAUGCCUACCAAGGCGACGGUCCGGAACUGGUCUGAGAGGAUGAUCAGUCACACUGGAACGGGGACAGGGUCCAGACUCCUACGGAAGGCAGCAGGGGGGAAUAUUGGACAAGGGGCGAAAGCCUGAGCCAGCCAUGCCGGGUGUGUGAAGAAGGUCUUCGGAUUGUAAAGCACGUUAAGUUGGGAGGCGUUACCAACAGAAUAAGCACCGGCUAACUUCGUGCCAGCCGCCGCGGUAAUUC
rnacentral:rRNA from 1 species